rnacentral:rRNA from 1 species
AAAAUGACUCUCGGCAACGGAUAUCUCGGCUCUUGCAUCGAUGAAGAACGUAGCGAAAUGCGAUACUUGGUGUGAAUUGCAGAAUCCCGUGAACCAUCGAGUCUUUGAACGCAAGUUGCGCCCGAUGCCAUUAGGUUGAGGGCACGCCUGCCUGGGUGUCACAC